rnacentral:rRNA from 1 species
GAACAGACGAGGAGCUUGCUCCUCUGACGUUAGCGGCGGACGGGUGAGUAACACGUGGAUAACCUACCUAUAAGACUGGGAUAACUUCGGGAAACCGGAGCUAAUACCGGAUAAUAUAUUGAACCGCAUGGUUCAAUAGUGAAAGACGGUUUUGCUGUCACUUAUAGAUGGAUCCGCGCCGCAUUAGCUAGUUGGUAAGGUAACGGCUUACCAAGGCAACGAUGCGUAGCCGACCUGAGAGGGUGAUCGGCCACACUGGAACUGAGACACGGUCCAGACUCCUACGGGAGGCAGCAGUAGGGAAUCUUCCGCAAUGGGCGAAAGCCUGACGGAGCAACGCCGCGUGAGUGAUGAAGGUCUUCGGAUCGUAAAACUCUGUUAUUAGGGAAGAACAAAUGUGUAAGUAACUAUGCACGUCUUGACGGUACCUAAUCAGAAAGCCACGGCUAACUACGUGCCAGCAGCCGCGGUAAUACGUAGGUGGCAAGCGUUAUCCGGAAUUAUUGGGCGUAAAGCGCGCGUAGGCGGUUUUUUAAGUCUGAUGUGAAAGCCCACGGCUCAACCGUGGAGGGUCAUUGGAAACUGGAAAACUUGAGUGCAGAAGAGGAAAGUGGAAUUCCAUGUGUAGCGGUGAAAUGCGCAGAGAUAUGGAGGAACACCAGUGGCGAAGGCGACUUUCUGGUCUGUAACUGACGCUGAUGUGCGAAAGCGUGGGGAUCAAACAGGAUUAGAUACCCUGGUAGUCCACGCCGUAAACGAUGAGUGCUAAGUGUUAGGGGGUUUCCGCCCCUUAGUGCUGCAGCUAACGCAUUAAGCACUCCGCCUGGGGAGUACGACCGCAAGGUUGAAACUCAAAGGAAUUGACGGGACCCG